rnacentral:misc_RNA from 1 species
GAUUAAGAACGCAGCGAAAUGCGAUAAGUAAUGUGAAUUGCAGAAUUCAGUGAAUCAUCGAAUCUUUGAACGCACCUUGCGCCCUUUGGCCAUUCCGAAGGGCAUGCCUGUUUGAGUAUCAUGAACACCUCAACUCUUCAUGGUUUUCCAUGAUGAGCUUGGACUUUGGGGGUCUUGCUGGCCUGUGGGUCGGCUCCUCUCAAAUGAAUCAGCUUGCCGGUUUUUGGUGGGCAUCACAGGUGUGAUAACUAUCUACGCUUGUGGUUUUCCACCAGGGUAACCUUCAGCAGUGGAGGUUCACUGGAGCUUACAAAUGUCUCUCCUCUGUGAGGACAGCCCUUUGAAUGUUUGAUCUCAAAUCAGGUAGGACUACCCGCUGAACUUAAGCAUAUCAAUAAGCGGAGGA